UUAAGAUACUAGAAAAUUAAGAUACAAGAAAAUUAAGAUACAAGAAAAUUAAGAUACAAGAAAAUUAAGAUAGACAAAAUUAAGAUACAAGAAAAUUAAGAUACAAGAAAAUUAAGAUACAAGAAAAUUAAGAUACAAGAAAAUUAAGAUACAAUUAAGAUACUAGAAAUUUAAGAUACAAGAAAAAAUUAAGAUACAAGAAAAUAAUGAAGAAAAAUUAAGAUCAAGAAAAUACUGAGGAAAAUUUAAGAUACAAGAAAAUUAAGAUACAAGAAAAACAAGAAAAUUUUAAUCGCUUCAAUACGUAACCAAUUGUCUUCUGUCGAUACAUUAGGGAUCAACAUUAAUAGAUAAAGAUAGAAAAGAUAGUAAGAUAGUAGAGAUAAAGUAGAUAGUAAAGAUAGACAGAUAGAUAGUAUAGAUAAAGAUAGUAAAUUCAAUAGAUAGAUAGAUAGAUUGAAUUCCCCAGAUAGUUUAAUAAAGAUAGAUUAAGAUAGACAUAACUUAGAGUAGAUAUUAUUUACAUUUGAUAAAGAUAAGUAAUUUGAUAAAGAGUAAGA